rnacentral:rRNA from 1 species
AGCAGCCGCGGUAAUUCCAGCUCCAAUAGCGUAUAUUAAAGUUGUUGCAGUUAAAAAGCUCGUAGUUGAAUUUCAGGAUCAAUUAAUUGGUCGUGCCUAUGGUAUGUACUGAUUUUAUUGGUUUCUCCCUUCUGACGAACCAUGAUGUCAUUUAAUUUGGUGUCGUGAAGAAUCAGGACUGUUACUUUAGAAAAAAUUAGAGUGUUUAAAGCAAGCUAACGCUUGAAUACAUUAGCAUGGAAUAAUGAAAUAGGACGUUUGAUCCUAUUUUGUUGGUUUCUAGGAUCGACGUAAUGAUUAAUAGGGAUAGUUGGGGGCAUUAGUAUUCAAUUGUCAGAGGUGAAAUUCUUGGAUUUAUUGAAGACUAACUACUGCGAAAGCAUUUGCCAAGGAUGUUUUCAUUAAUCAAGAACGAAAGUUAGGGGAUCGAAGACGAUCAGAUACCGUCGUAAGUCUUAACCAUAAACUAUGCCGACUAGGGAUCGGAUGAUGUUAAUUUUUAAUGACUC